rnacentral:rRNA from 1 species
AUGCAAGACCAAAAAUUGUAUAUAUGGAGCAGGCUACUGCUACUUGCCAACCAAACCAAGAGGGGCAUGGCAAUGGGGGUCAUGAGUUUCCUAUGGUCAUUGCUAGCGCUCCUGAUGAUCGUCAUGGUGAUCGCCAGCGAUGAGGCCGCGUUGCUUGCUUUUAAAGCACAAGUCAGCGAUGGCAGCUCGCUGGCCUCCUGGAAUAGCAGUGCUGAUUUCUGCAGCUGGGAAGGCGUGACAUGCAGCCACCGGAGGCCCGCGCGGGUGGUGGAGCUGAGCUUGGACAGCAGAGCACUCGCCGGAGUACUCUCCCCAGCCCUAGGGAACCUCACGUUCCUGCGGAUGCUCAACCUGAGCUUCAACUGGUUCCAUGGGGAGAUUCCAGCAAGCCUCGGCCGCCUCCGUCGCCUACAGAGGCUAGACUUGAACGACAACUCCUUCUCCGGCAAGUUCCCUGUAAACCUGAGUUCCUGCAUUAGGCUGAACAAAAUGGGACUACACAACAACAAGAUUGGUGGCCACAUCCCAGCUGAGCUCGGCGAAAAGUUCAUAUCCCUAGCAGUGAUCUCGCUGAGGAACAACAGUUUCACAGGUCCCAUCCCGGGGUCAUUGGCCAAUCUGUCCUAUCUACGAUAUCUGGAUUUCUCUGCCAACCAGCUAGUUGGCUCAAUCCCACCAGUGCUCGGAAGCAUCCAGACCAUGCGGUUUUUCAGUCUCUCCCAAAACAACCUCUCUGGUAUGCUUCCACCUUCUCUCUACAACUUAUCGUCGCUGGAAGUUUUUGAUAUAAGUCACAAUAUGUUGUAUGGAAGCAUUCUGGAUGAUAUCGACAACAAGUUCCCCAAGAUAAAUGGUCUUUACUUGGGUAAUAAUUACUUCGCGGGGACCAUCCCUUCCUCAAUAUCUAAUCUAUCUAACCUCAUACAACUCAGCCUGGGGUUCAAUAUAUUUAGUGGGUAUGUGCCUCCAACAUUGGGGAAGUUGCAAGCUCUCCAACAUCUCCACUUGUCUGACACUAAGCUUGAAGCAAAUGAUAACAAAGGGUGGGAAUUCAUCACUUCUUUGGCAAACUGCAGCCAGUUGCGCUUCUUGUCACUCGGCGGCUACUCUUUAGAAGGAUUGCUGCCAGCUUCAGUUACUAACCUCUCAACGACUCUUCAAGAGUUAUACUUACUGGACAGUCGGGUCGCUGGAGUUAUUCCUGCAGACAUAGGCAAUUUGGUUGGUCUCACCAGGCUUGCAAUAGCAAACAAUUAUAUCUCCGGAGUGAUCCCAGAGAGCAUCGGUAAGCUGGAAAACUUGGUUGAGCUAGCCUUGUAUAACAAUAGCUUGUCUGGCCUCAUACCGCCGUCAAUAGGGAACCUUUCACAGUUAAACAGGCUUUAUGCAUACUACGGAAACUUGGAGGGGCCCAUUCCAGCAAGCCUGGGGGAGCUGAAAAACCUAUUCUUACUUGAUUUGUCAACAAACUACAGACUUAACGGUUCAAUACCCAGAGAGAUUUUGAAAUUAUCUGGCCUUUCUUGGUACUUGGACUUGUCAUACAAUUCCCUUUCAGGACCCCUUCCUAAUGAGGUUGGUAGCUUGGCAAACCUCAACCAACUGAUUCUAUCAGGAAAUCAGUUGUCUGGCAAGAUACCGGAUAGUAUUCAGAAUUGCAUAGUCUUGGACUGGUUAUUAUUAGACAAUAAUUUGUUCGAGGGGAGCAUACCUCGAUCACUGACUAAUAUUAAGGGGCUCAGUAAACUGAAUCUGACCAUGAAUAAGCUCUCUGGUAAUAUUCCUGAGGCCCUUGCUAGUAUUGGAAACCUGCAGGAACUGUACCUAGCACACAAUGACUUUUCUGGAUCAAUCCCGGCAGUUCUACAGAAUUUGACUUCAUUGUCCAAAUUGGAUCUGUCCUUUAAUAAUUUGCAAGGUGAGGUGCCAGAUGGAGGUGUUUUCAGAAACAUCACUUAUGUAGAAGUUGUUGCUGGGAAUACCAAUCUGUGUAGUGGUAGACCUCAACUUCACUUGGUUCCAUGUUCCACAAGCCGCAUUAGGAAGAACAGAAAAAGGAUGUCAAAGUCUCUUGUAAUUUCGCUAGCAACAGCUGGAACAAUCUUGUUGUCAGUUUUGGUUCUUGUUCUUGUUUGGAUACUUCGUAGGAAGCUCAGACAAAGCCAGAAGAUACUAGUGCAGUACUCAGAUGCUGAGAACCAUUAUGAAAGAAUCCCCUAUCAUGCAUUAAUGAGAGGAACUAACGAAUUUUCAGAUAUUAACUUGCUUGGGAGAGGAAGUUACGGUGCAGUUUAUAAGUGUGUUUUGGCAAAUGAGGACAGAACAUUGGCUAUCAAGGUGUUUAACCUCGGUCAAUCCAGGUAUUCCAAGAGUUUCGAGGUUGAAUGUGAAGCCAUGAGAAGGAUACGGCAUCGUUGUCUCAUAAAUAUCAUUACUUCUUGUUCAAGCGUCGACCACCAAGGUCAAGAGUUCAAGGCAUUGGUGUUUGAGUUCAUGCCAAAUGGUAACUUGGAUGGUUGGCUCCACCCAAAAUCUCAAGAGCCCACUACAAACAACACGCUCAGCCUUGCCCAGAGGCUUGAUAUUGCUAUCAAUAUUGUGGACGCAGUAGAAUAUCUGCACAUCUAUUGUCAACCAUUGGUAAUCCAUUGUGAUCUUAAGCCAAGCAACAUUCUUCUUGCUGACGACAUGAGCGCCCGCGUUGGAGACUUUGGCAUAUCAAGGAUCCUUCAAGAAAAUACAAGCGAGAGGAUGCAAACUUCAUAUAGCACAAUUGGAAUAAAAGGUUCCAUUGGCUAUGUUGCUCCAGAGUAUGGAGAAGGCUCUGUGGUCUCAACUCACGGUGAUAUUUAUAGUCUUGGCAUAUUGCUGCUUGAGAUGUUCACCGGAAGGCGCCCAACAGAUGACAGGUUCAUAGAUUCAUUGGAUCUGCAUAAGUUUGUCGAGGAUGCUCUUCUAGAUAGAACCUUGGAGGUAGCUGACCCAACAAUCUGGAUGCACAACGAACAACACGAGAACAAUACUAUUAGAACGCAGAAGUGCUUGGUUUCAGUGUUGAGGCUUGGCAUAUCCUGCUCAAAGCAACAGCCUCGAGAACGAACAUUGACAGGAGAUGCAGCAGCAGAGAUGCGUGCAAUCAGAGAUGCAUACCUCGCGUUUGCUGGCUAG